rnacentral:tRNA from 1 species
GCUGGAGUAGCUCAGUCGGCAGAGCACCGCCAUGGUAAGGCGGGGGUCGUGGGUUCGAUUCCCACCUCCAGCU